GCUCUGCGCAGGCGCACUCGGUAGGCCGCGCGGCGCGGGCAAGCUGAGUCAGGGUGGCCAGGCCACCGCUCCACGCGUGGCAGGGUGGAGGGGCGGCCUCGCGGAAAGCCGCACCCGGGGAGGGCCGGAGCCUGCGUCGCAGAGGGGCCGCCGCGAGAUAAUUGGUGUUGAUGUGUUGUUGGUUUUGUUCUCAUUAAACUCAUGGCCCGCGGUAAGUCUUGCUGAACCCGGCCUGCCCGCCGCUGCUCUCCGUGAGGUGCAUCGCAGCCUCCUGGUACUUAGGAAACUGGACAGCACUUAAGCGCCGGCUUGAAGGCCACUUGAAACCACAAGAUCGCCACCAAAACACAAAAAUACGGAGUCGUAACACUAAAUAGGCUGUGGAACAGAAGCUUCCUUAACCACAUCAGAACUGAAACACGAAAGAAGGCAGGUGUCGUCGCCUUGUCCCACCUCAGCUGGAAGUAUGUUCCUCGGGCAACUCAAGUCUUUUGCCACUCCGCACAAGUUGGCCAAUAACUGCUGAAGUACCGCAAAUACUGAUUUUGGAGUUACAAGUAAAUUUGGCAGAUAGGCAAGUUCACAAACGUGGAAUCCACAAAUAACAAGAAUCAGGUGUGUGUGUGUGUGUAUUUGUACGUGUACAUGCCCAUUUUCCUUGGUCUUUUUCUGAGCCAUUUGAGAAUAUGCUAUAGACCCGGUUACCCAUCACCUCCAAA